GCAUGAAGCUGGAAUCGCUAGUAAUCGCGGAUCAGAAUGCCGCGGUGAAUACGUUCCCGGGUCUUGUACACACCGCCCGUCACACCAUGGGAGUCGGUAACGCCCGAAGUCAGUGACCCAACCUUAAGGAGGGAACUGCCGAAGGCGGGACUGGUAACUGGGGUGAAGUCGUAACAAGGUAUC
rnacentral:rRNA from 1 species